UAGUUGGUAGGGUAAUGGCCUACCAAGGCGACGAUCGUAGCCGGCCUGAGAGGGCACACGGCCACACUGGCACUGAGACACGGGCCAGACUCCUACGGGAGGCAGCAGUGGGGAAUCUUGCACAAUGGGGGAAACCCUGAUGCAGCGACGCCGCGUGAGUGAUGAAGCCCUUCGGGGUGUAAAGCUCUUUCGACGGGAACGAUAAUGACGGUACCCGGAGAAGAAGCUGCGGCUAACUACGUGCCAGCAGCCGCGGUAAUACGUAGGCAGCAAGCGUUGUUCGGAAUUACUGGGCGUAAAGAGUACGUAGGUGGUUUGCUAAGUCCGAUGUGAAAUCUCCUGGCUUAACUGGGAGGGUGCGUUAGAUACUGGCAGGCUUGAAUGUGGGAGAGGAGAGCGGAAUUCCUGGUGUAGCGGUGAAAUGCGUAGAUAUCAGGAGGAACGCCUGUGGUGUAGACGGCUCUCUGGACCAUUAUUGACACUGAGGUACGAAAGCGUGGGUAGCAAACAGGAUUAGAUACCCUGGUAGUCCACGCCCUAAACGAUGCAUACUUGGUGUGGGCAGUUCAGUCUGUCCGUGCCGGAGCUAACGCGUUAAGUAUGCCGCC
rnacentral:rRNA from 1 species